CAUUAGAUGGCUGAAUGUAAGCAAUGGAAUUUUAAACCAUUUUAUAGUAAAUUAACAUCUACUUCUAAUGA
rnacentral:tRNA from 1 species